rnacentral:rRNA from 1 species
UGCAGUCGGACGGGCCCGACCUUCGGGCCGGGCCCGUGGCGCAAGGGUGAGUAAGGCGACGGUAACCAACCUCGGGGCCGGCCAUAGCCGCGGGAAACCGCGGGUAAGAGCCAGCGACGUCGGGACCCGGCAUCGGGUGCCGAUCAAAGGUGCGAAUCCGCCCCGAGACGGGCCGUCGUGGUAUUAGCUUGUUGGUGGGGUAUCGGCCCACCAAGGCGAGGAUGCCUACCGGGCGUGCGAGCGCGGCCCGGCACACUGGGACUGAGACACUGCCCAGACUCCUACGGGAGGCUGCAGUCGAGAAUCUUCGGCAAUGGGCGCAAGCCUGACCGAGCGACGCCGCGUGGAGGACGAAGGCCUUCGGGUUGUAAACUCCUGUCGAGGGGGACCAAGGGGGCGCGAAGAGCGUCCCUCGAGCGACCCCUGGAGGAAGCACGGGCUAAGUUCGUGCCAGCAGCCGCGGUAAGGCGAACCGUGCGAACGUUAUUCGGAAUCAUUGGGCUUAAUACUGCUCUGUCAGUUAUCGCAGGCUCUAUUGGAGCUUAGACUUACGUCCAUCGGUCUCUCUGAAUGCGAUCUCCUUCUACGGUUGUCCGAGAAUGCGAUCCGGAACGACGAGGAACUUUGCAGGAUACUCAUCGGACUUAAACUAUACAGACUACCCGAGCCGCCCAAAUUAGUGACAAAGUAGUAUUAAAGGGCGCGUA